GCGUCGGUAGCUCAGCUGGAUAGAGCGACUGCCUUCUAAGCAGUAGGUCGAGGGUCCGAAUCCCUCCCGACGUA
rnacentral:tRNA from 1 species